rnacentral:rRNA from 1 species
GAUGAACGCUGGCGGCGUGCUUAACACAUGCAAGUCGAACGAUGAAGCCCAGCUUGCUGGGUGGAUUAGUGGCGAACGGGUGAGUAACACGUGAGUAACCUGCCCUUAACUCUGGGAUAAGCCUGGGAAACUGGGUCUAAUACCGGAUAGGAGCGUCCACCGCAUGGUGGGUGUUGGAAAGAUUUAUCGGUUUUGGAUGGACUCGCGGCCUAUCAGCUUGUUGGUGAGGUAAUGGCUCACCAAGGCGACGACGGGUAGCCGGCCUGAGAGGGUGACCGGCCACACUGGGACUGAGACACGGCCCAGACUCCUACGGGAGGCAGCAGUGGGGAAGAUUGCACAAUGGGCGCAAGCCUGAUGCAGCGACGCCGCGUGAGGGAUGACGGCCUUCGGGUUGUAAACCUCUUUCAGUAGGGAAGAAGCGAAAGUAACGGUACCUGCAGAAGAAGCACCGGCUAACUACGUG